GGGAGGUAGGUAGGUGGAAUAAAAUAGGAGGUAGGAGAUGGGUGAAGUAAUAAAAGAAGAGAGACUUGUCCGGAUGAGAUGUUGAAAUCGGUGGUUAGGUGGUGGGCCAAGAAAAUAGUAUAAUAUGGAAAAGACAAAACUUUUGAUAAGACAUUAUAAACUAAAAGACAAAACUUUUGAGAAAAGAUGAUGCUUUGUCUGACAAGAUGGGUUAUGCGAGAGAAAAGUGGUGCUUGGUUUGGCUGGUUACAACUCAAUCUUAUGGGAAUAGUGUUGUGAUGCUAUGCCUUCAAAGAAAUAGUGUUGGACUUUGAUUGCAGUGGCAUAACUAUGUGAAACAGAGGCAAUAACGGCUGUAAAAAUAGAGGUAGUGGAGUGCGGAAGCGGAUGAAUCAAGGAUGAAGGUUGAGGUUUCAACAAAGCAGGUGAUGAAAUCAGAGAAAUCCUUGCAAGGACAAGGAUCUGUGGUGACAACCGUGUAAAACUUAGAUCCCUAAAGGGGCAGCGGUGUCGAGGUUGCAGCGUCUGAAUAAGCUCAGAGAUGGGCAGAUGUAAAACUUUGAGUCUCAAGGACUAGAGGGGUCAUGGAUGCUUGCAACGGUAGGGAGUUGGAGUCCGAUUGGUCAAAAAAUGACGUUGGUGCAAGAGUGGAGCAGAUAUUGAAGGCAAGGUGCUAGCAACGGCACCUUUCGAAACAGAGAAACAAGGGUUCAUCGGCCAUGCUUAAGAUCAUAGAACAAGGCCAACCAACGGUGACAUGGUUGAUCAUAAUGCCUCUUGUCCACGACAGUGGGAAUGACACUCAUUCAUAAUUUUCAUUGGACGGGGUUAUUCCAUCAAACUAAGGCCCCGUUUGUUUUGAGGGGAUGUUGGGGUGGGAGAGUUGCUGAGAUGGGACCCAUGUAUUAGUGGGGUGACCAACCGGGGUGGGUAAAGUAGUGGAAAAGUAAUGAAUAACUCACAUUGCCAAUUCAUCUCACCGUUUGAUUACCCGGCUUGGGAACAUUCUAGAUAAGAGAAGGUGGAGAGAGAGAUGGAGGAUGUUCAUCUUCCCCAUCUCCUACACUUGCAUGGGACAAAGUAAGACAGGGAGAGAAGGCAUGGAAGAUCAGUGGCAGCCAACCCUGUCUGAGGAGCUCUAUGUUGUUCUUUUCCUCUGAGGAGAAGGUGAUUCAUGCUUCUGCUUUGUGGUGAUUGGCCAUGGAAUUGAAGAUCGAUUGUAGGUGACUUAGUACUGUUUUGUCCUUGUAGCUCUCAUCGUGUUCAGUUAUGUGAGGAAGAGUUCUCACACAGAGGAGCCUGUGAGAGGGAAACAACUCUUGAGCGAGCCCUACAGUAUAACAUCAUUGGAGAAAGCGAGACCCUUCACACCAUGCCAUGCCCUUGCAUUUUGCGGCAUAGGCAUGCGUAUGGAUUUGCGGAAAUAGUUGCAAAUGGGUGCAGGGGUUUUUGAAGGGUGAGUUGCAGGCGAUGAUUAUUCAUGGGGUUUCAGUUGGAUGAGUUGCAGGUGGACAAAGGGGUUUUUAGGCGUGGCUCGCUGGUGGCAGUUCGGGGAUUACGAAGAAGGUUGCAGCAGAUCGGAUUAGGCGAGGGUUUCUCCAUUUUCAUAGAUGUAGGGGGUGAUGCCUUGCCACCCCGUACCGAUUUGGUCGAAGUUCACAGAUUCAGUGCGAUGGUUGUGUGGGGGUAGGUGCGAUUGUGCAGCGGCUGGACACACUGAUCGUUGUGGCAGAGCUUGAAGCCAUGGCAAGGCGGUGUUGCGCAUUGUUCUCACGCCAUCUCCAACCAAUUCCCCUUGGGAUUUUCGGCGAAGUCCCACCAAAUCUGUAGGACUUUGAGAAGGGUUGGGGUCGGAGAAAUCUCCAGCCACGUCGGCCGACAGGGGAAAGCGCGAUUAUUUUUGUCGUCUGCCUAAAAUCCCGCCCAUAGAACUAAACAAGUUCAAAUCCCUGAUGAAUUGAGACUUGGGUUACGAAAUUCCUGAUCUACCCUUAAACAAAAGGGAUUUAACAUCUUCAAAUCACUUGAAACAUAAGAAAUGUAAAAGUACUUUACCCAUCUAUUGAAACCCAAACCCUUCAUGAGACUAUUGAGUACGGGAGAGUUACCCUAGUGAAGGUAUGGAAACAAUUUAGAUCGUCCCAUUGGUAGACAUUCAAAUAAUCAUCAAUGGAGGGGUGUAAAUAGUUGGUUACCUGAGUUUCGCCAUCGCUAAACCUCCAAGUGGACUUAGCCCUUCAUUCGCAAAGUUCAUCUUCCACAAUAGCUCGUUGGCUCUCUGUUGAAUUCCCGUAGUGAUGGAGUGAAGAUUCCUUCUUCAAGAGAAGAUGAAGUAGAAAUCUUCUCUUUGGUUAUUGUAUUUCACACAGAGAGGAAGAGAGUGAGAGUGAUCGUUUUCUUAUGGUACGAUAGUCCCUCCUCAUUUUUUCCCAAAUAAAUAGAUUUUUAUCCUUAUCUUAAGGAGAGGUAGGCAAUUACCAUAACUAUUCCAACUCUCUAAUGAUUAGGUUUACGUAACCACUUAAAAAGUGGGUAGGAUCAAAUCCCUAUAAUCUUGCACAUGGGCAAAAUUUAAACUCUCAUGUUCAAAUCUAAUCAACAUGGUGGGCCCACCUAUUUUGGUGGACAAGUUAUCACCAACACCUAGCCCUCUUGCCCCAUUAUUCUCUGACUUGGUUCUGGCGACCAUUGACCAAGGGCGAGCAUCAAUGGAGAUUUGCUCGCUUCAUAUUCUCUCUUUCUCUUCCCAUCGAUGGCAGAAAAGGUUAUUGUAGCAGUGGGAGGGUGAUUGCAGCGCCAAGUUGUUGUACUCCAUUUGACUGUUGGGUUUUCAGGUUGGUUUGUUGAUAAAAGGUCAUUGGUUGGGGGUAAUAUGUCCUUUGAUUGUAGAUGAUAUGGAUUGCUCUUAGCUCUGUUUCCAUAGGUGUUUGUGGUUUGUAUGUUUG